ACGGGUGAGUAACACGUGGGCAACCUGCCCUUGAGACUGGGAUAACUUCGGGAAACCGGAGCUAAUACCGGAUAAUAUGAGGAACCUCCUGGUUCUUUAUUGAAAGAUGGUUUCGGCUAUCACUUAAGGAUGGGCCCGCGGCGCAUUAGCUAGUUGGUGAGGUAACGGCUCACCAAGGCGACGAUGCGUAGCCGACCUGAGAGGGUGAUCGGCCACACUGGGACUGAGACACGGCCCAGACUCCUACGGGAGGCAGCAGUAGGGAAUCUUCCACAAUGGACGAAAGUCUGAUGGAGCAACGCCGCGUGAGUGAUGAAGGCCUUCGGGUCGUAAAGCUCUGUUGUUAGGGAAGAACAAGUGCGAGAGUAACUGCUCGCACCUUGACGGUACCUAACCAGAAAGCCACGGCUAACUACGUGCCAGCAGCCGCGGUAAUACGUAGGUGGCAAGCGUUAUCCGGAAUUAUUGGGCGUAAAGCGCGCGCAGGUGGUUUCUUAAGUCUGAUGUGAAAGCCCACGGCUCAACCGUGGAGGGUCAUUGGAAACUGGGGAACUUGAGUGCAGAAGAGGAAAGUGGAAUUCCAAG
rnacentral:rRNA from 1 species